GGCGCGAGCACAGGCCGCGGGCCCGCCGUCGCCCCUAGCAACGGGCCCAGUGCCCGCCGCUGCAGCCCCCCGCUCCUCCUCAUCAUCAUCAAUGUCGCGCUGCAGCAGAUGACAAGACCUCAAUAACACCUCCUCAUGUACAUAAUGCAACGGAUGCUGCCUAACCCGCUGAGUUACUCCAACACUCUAUUGAGGGCUUUCACUUGUUGAAACAAGGAUGGAGUCAAGGGAUGCCACAGAGAUGGGAAUAGGAAGCCUGAGAAUAUCUUGGAUGUUUGGUUCAAAACUGUUUUCAGGCCAUACUUGACACCAAGGUUGCAAACAGAAUCUGACAGCUGAAAGGGAGGCCAACGAUCACACUGUCAGGUUCACACAUUAUAUAAUGGUGAUGUAAUUACUGGACUCAAACUAUGUGAACAAACUUUCAAUUACUUGUUGAUUUUACAGCA